UUAAAACUUUCAACAAUGGAUCUCUUGGUUCCGGCAUCGAUGAAGAACGCAGCGAAAUGCGAUAACUAAUGUGAAUUGCAGAAUUCAGUGAAUCAUCGAGUCUUUGAACGCACAUUGCGCCCCCUGGUAUUCCGGGGGGCAUGCCUGUCCGAGCGUCA
rnacentral:rRNA from 1 species